CUCUAAGCAGCCGUGCAAGGCGUCCUGAAAGGCUUCACCGCCGGAGGGACAUGGGAAUGAGGUGGGCGUUCGCGCCUGAAGCCUCAGCCGCCCCCGCGACUGUAAGCGGAUAGCGAGAGGCGCAUGGUGAACCCCGGUUCGCCAGCCACUGGAGCCCCAAAGCUCCGGGAAGGUGCGCCCCAAGCGAUGACCCGCAAGCCAGGAGACCGGCCCUGCAUUCGCGCCAUUC
rnacentral:ncRNA from 1 species